GAUGAACGCUGGCGGCGUGCUUAACACAUGCAAGUCGAACGAAGCAGUUUAUUACGAUCCCUUCGGGGUGACGAUUUACUGACUGAGUGGCGGACGGGUGAGUAACGCGUGGGUAACCUACCUUGUACAGGGGGACAACAGUUGGAAACGACUGCUAAUACCGCAUAAGCGCACAGCUUUGCAUGAAGCAGUGUGAAAAGUUAUUUCGGUACAAGAUGGACCCGCGUCUGAUUAGCUAGUUGGUGAGGUAACGGCCCACCAAGGCGACGAUCAGUAGCCGACUUGAGAGAGUGAUCGGCCACAUUGGGACUGAGACACGGCCCAAACUCCUACGGGAGGCAGCAGUGGGGAAUAUUGCACAAUGGGGGAAAGCCUGAUGCAGCGACGCCGCGUGAGUGAUGAAGUAUUUCGGUAUGUAAAGCUCUAUCAGCAGGGAAGAAAGACUCGUAAGAGAGAUGACGGUACCUGACUAAGAAGCCCCGGCUAACUACGUGCCAGCAGCCGCGGUAAUACGUAGGGGGCAAGCGUUAUCCGGAUUUACUGGGUGUAAAGGGAGCGCAGACGGUUAUGCAAGUCUGAAGUGAAACCCCACGGCUCAACUGUGGGCUUGCUUUGGAAACUGUAUAACUAGAGUACUGGAGAGGUAAGCGGAAUUCCUAGUGUAGCGGUGAAAUGCGUAGAUAUUAGGAGGAACAUCGGUGGCGAAGGCGGCUUACUGGACAGCAACUGACGUUGAGGCUCGAAGGCGUGGGGAGCAAACA
rnacentral:rRNA from 1 species